UACGUAGGUUGCAAGCGUUAUCCGGAAUUAUUGGGCGUAAAGCGCGCGCAGGCGGUUUCUUAAGUCUGAUGUGAAAGCCCACGGCUCAACCGUGGAGGGUCAUUGGAAACUGGGGAACUUGAGUGCAGAAGAGAAAAGCGGAAUUCCACGUGUAGCGGUGAAAUGCGUAGAGAUGUGGAGGAACACCAGUGGCGAAGGCGGCUUUUUGGUCUGUAACUGACGCUGAGGCGCGAAAGCGUGGGGAGCAAACAGG
rnacentral:rRNA from 1 species